rnacentral:misc_RNA from 1 species
AAGGAAGAAAUGGAGACGCUGAAGGUAAUGUGUCUUGUUUGCUUGUGAUAGGCAUACGGUGGCAGCAGUCUCUAGAUUAUGUUCACAUUUUGGGCAUUAUGCAACAUCUUGCUGCUUAGAUGUUUUUGUUAAAUAUCUUAGCUGAAAUUAAUUUUUGAAGUGUUUUCAAACUCGGGUACUUUUUCUGUCUUGUAUUAUUGCUUGGAACAGAAGCUAUUGUGUGCCUUGAUAUCCUUAAAAAUAGAUUAUACAAUUACCUUCUCUGUCUUUUUUUCCCCUAAUGGUAAGAAAUACAAAUAUAGACUAAUUGCUGCAUUUAGGCCUCUGUGAGAUAACUAACUAGAAGAUAGGUGCCAAAGCAGCCAAAAAGAUGUGAAUUCAUGAUAUUAUCUUAUACACCAUUGAAUAUUUCUCAAUGGUGUGAUUCUGUUAAUCAACAAAGCUUUGGCAGGUUGAAUAAUUAAAAAAAUAUAUUAUUGACUUAUGGGAGAAAUAUGGAUAAUCUAUUUUUUUUUCUAAUAAUAUUUGGUGUUUAUUGUGGUUUCUUACUGAUUUU